ACCUUUUGGGGGUCUUAGGCGGCAGGUAAGAGGGUCUCCUUCCCGGACAUCCUAGGAGUCUUCUUGGCCUCAGGAAUUGCUCCCUUGCCUGGGAACUACCACGCGGUCUAGAGAGACCGUGGGCUAUCGAAGAGUCUGGCCCGGGGUUGGCCCUGCCCGUCACUCCAGGAGGAUGGACAGAUGCAGGGACAGAAAGAGGGACUGGAGUUCACCUAGAGGUUUCUUAUUAACUGUCCCCAACCAGCUAAUUCCACCGCUUGUCUUCAAAGCUCUCUGCGCCGGGAGGCUGAGUCCGAGGACGGCGGGCGGAGGCGGGAAGAGUCGAGACCCCAGGUUAUGGAACGGCGCGGAGACAGUGGCCACAGGGAGCGGGAACUCGGGUGCUGAAAGCAGUCCUGGAGGGCUGCGCGGGGGCGAGGCCGAGACCACUCCC
rnacentral:lncRNA from 1 species